GACGAACGCUGGCGGCGUGCUUAACACAUGCAAGUCGAACGGAAAGGCCCUGCUUUUGUGGGGUGCUCGAGUGGCGAACGGGUGAGUAACACGUGAGUAACCUGCCCUUGACUUUGGGAUAACUUCAGGAAACUGGGGCUAAUACCGGAUAGGAGCUCCUGCUGCAUGGUGGGGGUUGGAAAGUUUCGGCGGUUGGGGAUGGACUCGCGGCUUAUCAGCUUGUUGGUGGGGUAGUGGCUUACCAAGGCUUUGACGGGUAGCCGGCCUGAGAGGGUGACUGGCCACAUUGGGACUGAGAUACGGCCCAGACUCCUACGGGAGGCAGCAGUGGGGAAUAUUGCACAAUGGGCGGAAGCCUGAUGCAGCAACGCCGCGUGCGGGAUGACGGCCUUCGGGUUGUAAACCGCUUUCGCCUGGGACGAAGCGUGAGUGACGGUAAUGGGUAAAGAAGCACCGGCUAACUACGUG
rnacentral:rRNA from 1 species